rnacentral:lncRNA from 1 species
UCCCUAAGAGUCUCAGCUUUCUUUCGUGUCAAGAAUGGGGUCUCAAGGAAAGGCUCGAUACUUGACAAUAAUACUCCUAAUUGUUACCAUUAUUUUGCUAUCAUGCUCUAACCUUACUGUGAUAGCGAGGCCAUCAACUCCAUGCACAUAUGACCCCAAAGAUGGUAAGUGCAAAUACGGUGAACCAGCUGCAGCUCCAAUCGUAUGAUGAAUGAGUAAUCGUUUAUCCUUGUAUUAGCCAAGAAGGCAUGCAUGGCUACUUAAUUUAUCCAUGGUAAUUAUUUAUGUGUCCUCCUUCGCUAGCUGGUUUAGGUUACUAAUUACUAGCUAUUGCCAUGUUUUCUUUUCCCAUGCUUUUUGGCAUUUGUACCCAUUAAUUCUUCACCUUGCUUUGAUUUGCCAACGUUAUGCUAUUAAUAAAGUUUCUUCGCUUAUCUAAAAGAAAAAGAAAAGCUAGCUAAUUGCGUAUUUAUACUUUUAUUCUUUUGAGAAGUCGACAUACUCCAAUGCAUGCAUGGUUCGUUAUUAAUAUCGUCAUACAUAUAUUACGAAUUUAAUCUUUAAACAUUUAGUACAAACCCAGAGGCCAGCACAUUAAUUUGUUGUGUAUUUCGGUUUUGGGCAUCCCAAAAUGCUUGUGCAUAAAAAUAGGAGUAGUAGGAGAGGAAAUUAAACGAAAAAAAUAUUUUUUUCCUCAUACCUUUCAAAGAUAUGGCUACACAUCCCCUCUUACGAGAGAGGUCCACGAGAUAGAUUGAACUAUUUUAUCAUUGGAAUUAAAAAAUAUAUAUGGAUUUUACAUUUUGGGUCAAAUCAAAUGGUGUAUACUAAUAAUAAUAAUAAUAAUAAAAAUAAAAAUUUAAUUGUUCGAUAUUUUGAUUUCAUGGCUACUACGCAAGGCAAUACCUAUAGCCAUUCAUUUUGCAAGUCAAGAUCAACUCUUAAAUUAAUUAGUUUUUUGAGGAAGGAUUUUAAUAGAUCCCACAACGACAAAUCAACUCCAUCUUAUUUGGAUUAUGGCAAUUUAGAGGACUAAUUUGCGUGUUAUGCAGGUUCUGUAUCUUAAAGUCCAUGCCUUGGAUUUAAUUAAGAGAUCAACAUUUGACAUUUUAUCACGCCGGCACAAUCAUCUCCAUCUUCACCACCACCCGCCAAAAACAUUUAUAAUCUAUAUAUAUAUGGAGGUUUUCCCUUGUGCUUAAUUUCAACCAUUAGUGGUUGUGUAAUUUAUCUUAUUAUAUUUUUUUAUGCCUAGUUGUAUAAUUAUAUAAACUAUAAAUGAAUUUAAUUUAAUCAGAUUAUCAAUAACAUUCCUCUCUUUAAAUUUAGAGCAGGCGAACCAGACAUUGAUUUUGUUUUAAGUUUAUUGUUUUUGUCUUAGCAGGGGGCGACCUUAAAAAUUCUAAUUUUUGUUUUAAAAAAAUCUUUUUCACCGUACAUCAACUAAUGAUUAAUUGACCCGUGUUCCCUUGAACCGUUCAAAAUAGUUUAAAUAAUAGUCUUAAUGUUAUUAUUAUGUUCACUCAUGAUAUUUUUAAUGUUGUAAGCAUACAAUAAACUCAUUCUAAAAUUCAUUCGUUGACCAAUUUUGAUUGUUUGCUAGAUGUUGUUGAUUUCUCUUAAUUAGUAAAAGGAACAAGUCAAGGAAAUAAAGAACUCAAGACAAUUAAAAACAUAUUGUAAUUAUUAAAAUUAUCAAACCAGAAGAGAUGCUCGUGCAUUUUGUAUAAUUUAUUUUACAGAGAAUUACACCAAACAUCCUAAGAUUCGAUCACAAUUACAUUUUCUCUUCAGUAUUUAAAAAAUUAUAUUUUACAUAAUACUAUCAAUAUAGCUCAUAACAUCUUACAUAUCGAGUAGUCAUGAAUGCCUGAAAAAAUUCCAAGAUAUAACAGGUUUGAAUUAUGACAAUCGACCGACGAAUUAAUAUGCUAUACUUAUUAUAUAUAUGUUUCAUCUCCUCCAGUUUUCUGAACUGUUUGUUUCUGAAGGGCCAUGACCAAGUCAGAAGAUUAAAAAUAAAAAUAUCAUAUAAAUAUGAUUUAUUUGACUACUUAGACAACCUAGCUAGACAUGCAUGAUCCACAAUAUAUUACUCCCUUUGAAUGCUAUUGAUGAAAAUAAUAAGAAACUAUUUCGGGGAAAGUAUGUCCAAUUACUAAUGAAUCUCUAAAGUCAAAUUAAAUGCUGUACGUAUACCUUUUCCAAUUCAACAUAUUGUGUCUCCUAUAUAUAUCAGCUAGCUAACCCUCCCCAUCUCGCAGACUAGCUCGCUCGCUCUCUACACAUACGUACCAAGACAUGCAUUUGAUAUUUCCCUAAGAGUCAGCUUUCUUUCGUGUCAAGAAUGGGGUCUCAAGGAAAGGCUCGAUACUUGACAAUAAUACUCCUCCUUGUUACCAUUAUUUUGUUAUCAUGCUCUAACCUUACUGUGAUAGCGAGGCCAUCAUUUUCAUGCACAUAUGAUCCCAAUGAUCCUAGUAAGUGCAAAGUCGGUGAACCAGCUGCAGCUCAAAGGUUUGAUGGGGGGAGGAGUUAGGAGAGGUGGUUUGACCUAAUCGUAUGAUGAAUGAUCAGUAAUCGUUUAUCCUUGUAUUAGCCAAGAAGGCAUG